rnacentral:rRNA from 1 species
GGGGGGGGGGGGGGGGGGGGGGGGGGCGGGGGGGGCGGGCGGAGGGGCGGGGGGCUUGCUCGUCGGACGGUGGCGGCGGACGGGUGAGGAACACGUGGAUCACCUACGUAUCAGACUGGGAUAACUUCGGGGCCCCGGAGCUAAUACCGUCUAAUAUCUUGACCCGCCUGGUUCAAUAGUGAACGCCGGUUUUUCUGUCACUUAUAGAUGGAUCCGCGCCGCCUUAGCUCGUUGGUAAGGUACCGGCUUACCAAGGCCACGAUGCGUAGCCGACCUGAGAGGGUGAGCGGCCACACUGGAACUGAGACACGGUCCAGACUCCUACGGGAGGCAGCAGUAGGGAAUCUUCCGCAAUGGGCGAAAGCCUGACGGAGCAACGCCGCGUGAGUGAUGAAGGUCUUCGGAUCGUAAAACUCUGUUAUUAGGGAAGAACAAAUGUGUAAGUAACUAUGCACGUCUUGACGGUACCUAAUCAGAAAGCCACGGCUAACUACGUG